AGUGCCACUGACUCCCUGCCAGGCUCUCACCCCAUCUUUUGGCCCAUCUGGGACCAAAAACAGUGCCGUAAACCUUUCCUUGUCCCAACCAAAGCUGACUGUCACCCUCUCUCAUUCUAGGUCAGACUAUGAUGACUGGAGACCGUCUCUGGCCAGUUUGCUUCAACCCAUUCCAUUCCCCAAAGAAGCUCUCGCCCAUGAGAAGUUCACCAAGGAACUGAAGUACGUGAUUCAGAGGUUCGCCGAAGACCCCAGGCAAGAGGUCCACUCGUGCCUGCUGAGCGUGCGGGCCGGCAAAGACGGCUGGUUCCAGCUCUACAGCCCCGGAGGGGUGGCCUGCGACGAUGACGGGGAGCUGUUCGCCAGCAUGGUGCACAUCCUCAUGGGCUCCUGUUACAAGACCAAAAAAUUCCUGCUCUCCCUGGCGGAAAACAAGCUGGGUCCCUGCAUGCUCCUGGCACUGAGGGGGAACCAGACCAUGGUGGAGGCAGGCGGCAUCAUUUCUGCCACAUCCUACUGCUGGCAGUGAGUCACCACGGCCGGCCCUCAGUCAAAGG
rnacentral:sRNA from 1 species